rnacentral:lncRNA from 1 species
UCUCUGUGCAUAUUGUUGUGUGUUUGUUUAUUCUACAUGAGCUAGAUAUAAUUGUAUAGCGGGAGGGUUGAGAUCUAACAAAGCAUGUUUAGCCCCGCCGUAUUUUUGCGCCUGUCCCAAGACAGUAGACUCUGAUCUUUGUUAGUUUUUUUAUUGUUUUUUUUGUCUAAGUUAAGUGUGACGUCCAUUUUCACAUUACUAGUAUAUAUUUUUAUUUAGAGACCAGCUGAAGCCCGGAUUUUUUCGUUGUGUUGAAGACUCAUUGGUGGCCUUCGGCUUUGCUCUUUGGUUAGGCUGACUGUCUGUUGUUUCUUUGACACAUUUUUUAUUUCCAUUCUCAAUUUUAUUGAUUGAUCAAUUGAUUGAUUGAUUGAUUCAUUGAUUCAUUCAUUGAUCAUUU